CUCCCUGGCAUCUUUGACUUCGUGUGUCACACUCCCCCUGUUGUUGCAGACUUCUUGUGUAACACACCACAUGGCAUCUUUGACUCCAUGUAACACUCCUUCUGGUGUCUCUGACUUCAUGUAUAACAUUCCAUGUGGUGUUUCUGACUACGUGUGUAACACUCCACGUGGCAUUUCUCCCUUUGUGUGUUACACAACAUGUCAUCUUGGACUUAGUGUGUAACUCUCUGCAUGGUGUCUCUGACUUUGUGCAUAACACUCCCCUUGGUAUCCUUGUUUUCAUGCAUAAUACACCCCCAUUGCGUCUCUGAAUUCAUGUGUUAUACUCCCUCUGUCAUCUCUGUAUUCACGUGUCACAAAACCCCUGGUGUCUUUGAGGUCAUAUAUAACACUCCUCCUCAUGUCUCUGAGUUUGUGCAUUGCACUCCCCCUGUGUUCUCCGAUUUCUUAUGUUACUCUCUACCUGUUGUCUAUGACUCUGUGUAACACUUCCUGUGGCAUCUAUCGCUUCAUGCAUAACACUCCCACUGUAAUCUCUGGCUUCAAGUGUAACACUUCCUAGUGGUGUCUCUGACUUUGUGUGUCAAUCUCUCUGUGGUGUCUCUCACAUUCUGUGUAACACUCCACCUGUGGUCCUUGACUUCUUAUCUCUCACCCUUGCAUCUCUGUUUUUGUGUUUCACUCCCACUGUGUUAUCUAUGACUUCAUGGGUAACACUGCACCUGGCAUCUCUGCCUUCGUGUAUAACACACCUCCACGUCAUCUCUGAAUUCAUGAGUAAUACUCUCCAGGGUGCUGAGUUUGUGUGUAACACUUCCUCUGGCAUCAGUCACUUUGUGUGUAACACUCCACAUGACAUCUCUUACUUCCUGUUUCACAGUCCCCCAUCAUCUCUGACUUCGUGUGUAACACCCCAAAUUGCCUCUUUGACUUCGUGUGUAACACUCCCCCAGGCAUCUCUGAGUCUGUGUGUAACUCAACCCCUGGUUUCUCUUAUGUGUGUAAUAAUCCACAUGCUGUCUCUGACUUCAUGUUUCACAGUCACCGUGGCAUCUCUGAUGUGAUGUGUAACACUUUGUCUAUUCUCUCUGAAUUCGUGUCUAACACUCUCCCUGGUGUGUUUCACCUCAUACAUAAUACUGUUGCAUGGCGUCUCUCAUUUUGUGAGUAACACACUCCUUGGUGUCAUUUAUUUCAUGUGUCACACUCUACCUGUGGUCUCUGAUUUCUUGUGUCGCAAAACAUCUGUCAUCUCCAAUGUCGUUUGUCAUUCUACCCAAGGUUUCUUUGACUGCAUUUGUAACAAUCCCCCUGGUGUCUCUGACUUCAUGUGUCAGACUCCCACUGGUGUCUGUGACUUAGUGUGUCACAACCCCUGCAUCAUUGACUUCACUAUAACAACCCCAUGUCAUCUCUGAAUUCUUGUCUCACACUCCACAUGGCAUCCCUGACUUUGUGUUUCACACUCCACCUGGCAUCUCUGAAUUCGUGUGUAAACACCCCAUGGUGUCUCUGACUUCAUGUAUAACUCUCACAAAGACAUCACUGACUUUGUGUGUAACACUCCCCUGGGAUUCUCUGACUUCAUCUGUCAUAGUUCCCCUGGAGUCUCUCAUUCUUUGUGACCUAUCAUGUGCCCUCUCUGGCUUCUUCUGUAACACUCCCCCUGGCAUCUCUGGCUGCGUGUGUACCAUUCCCCAUAGUGUCUCUGACUUUCUGCUUCACAAUCCCCCUAGUGUUAUGAAGGAAGUCAGAGAUGCCCUGGGUUUGUGACAAAGUAGUCAGAGUCACCGGGAGCAUGAUACAAAGUCAUGGAGGUGUGUAAUGUGAAUUGUUACACACGAGGUCAGAGAGACAAGGAGGACUAUAAUACAUGAAGUCAAAGAUACGAUUUGGAGUGUUAAACAUGAAGUCAGUGAUGCAAGGGGACUGUUACGCAUGAACUCAGGACACAAGUGGGAUUUUUACACAGGAAUUCUGAGAUGCCAGGGGGAAUGUGACACAGGCAGUCAGAAGCACCAGGUGUAGUGGUACACAGGGAGUCAGAGUCACAAGUAUGUGUGACAUUCAAAGUCAGAGAUGCCACAGCAAGUGUGACACGAAGUUAGAUACACUAUGGGAAGCAUGACACAUGAUGUCAGAGCCACGAAAGACAGUGUGACACAUGAACUCAAAGAUACCAGGUGGAGUUUUAAAUAUGAUGACAGAGAUGACAAGUGGUGUGCUACACACAAACUCAGAGACAAAAGGGGUAUUGUUACACACAAAGUCUGAGAUGCCAGGGGGUGAGUUACAUACGAAGUCAGAGAUGCCAGGAUGAUUGUGAUGGGUGAAGUCAGAUACGUCAUGGGGAGUGUCACACACGAAGUCAGAGAUGCCAGCAGGUGUGUUACGAAUAAAGUCAGAGACAAAAUUUGGAUUAUUAGCCACUGUCAGAAAUGAAGUCAUAGUGUAACACACGAAUUCAGACACACCAAGAGGGUGUGUUACACAAAGAGAGACACUAGAUAGAUUGUUACACACGAAUUCAUAAAUGACAGGGGGAUUGUGAAUCAAGAAGUCAGAGACUUCAGAGGUAGCAUUAAACACGAAGUCACAGACGCCACGAGGAGUGUUACACACAUAAUCAUCAACGCCGAAUAGAUUCUGAACACACAAAAUCAGAAACAACAGGGGAAUUGUGAAUCAUGAAGUCAGAGACAAAUGGUGGAGGGUUACACUUGAAAGCAGAGAUGCUGGAGGAGAGCUACAGAAGAAAUCAGAGACUAGAGGGCGAGUGUUACACACAACGUCAGGGGCACUAAAAGAAGUGUGACAUAGGAAGACAGUGAUGCAACUGGGAAAUGAUGAACAAGAAAUCAGAAACGACAGGGGGAGUGUUAUCCACAAAGUCAGAGAUCCCACGUGAAGUUUUACACAGUCAGAUACUCCAGGUAGAAUGUGACACAGAAAGUCAGAGUACAGGGUCAUUGUGAUGCAUAAAGUCAGAGACGUCAAGUGGAGUGUUUAUACAUGAAGUCAAAGACAUCAGGGGGUUACUGACACACGAAGUCAGAGACAACAGGUGUAGUGUGACAUACCAGGUCACAGACACAGCAGGGACUGUGACACACAAAGUCAGAGACGACAGGUGGAUUGUGACAAACAAAUUCAGAGGUGACAGGGUGAGUGUUACACACUAAGUAAGAGAUGCCACAGAGCAUGUUACAAAUGAAGUCAGAGACACCAGGGGGAGUAUUACGCAUGAAUUCAAAGACACCAUGUGCAGUGUUAUGCAUGAAGCCAAAGACACCAGGGGAGUGUAACAAGCAAGUCAGAGACAACAGUGGAAGUGUGACACAUGAAGUCAGACAUGUCACAGGUGACUGUUAAAUACAAAGUCAACAGACAACAGGGAGAGUUUUACUCAUGAAGAGAGAGAUGCCAUGGAGGAGUGCUACCCAUGAACUGAAAGAUAACAAAGGGAGUGUUACACAUGAAGUCACACAAGACAGUGAGAGUGUGACACACGUCAGAGAUACCAUAGGGGAGUAUUACACACGAAGUCAGUCACAUCAUGGUAUGUAUGGCACAUAGACAACAGGUAGAGUUUGACACACGAAAUCAGAUAUGUCAAUCAGAGUGUUACACACAAAGUAGAGACAACAGGGGGAGAGCUGCACAAGAAGUCAGAGAGGCCACUGGGGAGUGUUAGGCAUUAAGUCAAAGACACCAGGGGAAGUGUUAUGCAGGAUGUCACAGAUGCCAUGGGGACUGUGACAAACCAUCUCAGAGAUGAAAGGUUGAAUGCAACACGUGAAGUCAGAGACACCACUGGUAGUGUUACACAUGAUGUCAGAGGUGUCAGGGGGUGUGUGACACAUGAACUCAGAGAUACCACGUGUAGUGUUACACACAAAGUGAGAGAUACUGUGGGAGUGUUACACAUGAAGCAGGGCAAGCCAGGGGUUGUUUUACACACGAAGUCAGAGAGGCUAUGUGGAGUGUUACAGGUGAUGUCAUAGAUGACAGGAGGACUGUGACACAGGAAUUGAGAGAUGCCAGUGAGAGUGCUACCCACAAAGUCCAUGAAGUCAUGGGUAGUGUGACACAUGAACUAAGAGACACCAAGUGGGGUGUUACACAUGAAGUCCAAAAUGCCAUGAGGGAGGGUUAACAUGAAGGCAGAAAUGGCAUGUGGAGUUUACACAUGAAGUCAGGGACGACAGGGGCAUUUUUACACACAAAGUCAGAGAUGCCGGGGGACUGUUACACACAAAGACAGUGUGGAGAGAGUGAAGUGCAACGCACACCAGUGGUGGUGUUACACACCAAGUCCAAGAUGACAGGUGGAGUCUUGUGGAUGAUGUCAGAGGAGCCAGGUUGAGUGUUACACGUGAAGUAAGAGACCCACAGGGGAGUGCUAUCCACAAUGACAUAGACGACAGGGGGAGUGUUACAUGAAUUCAGAGAGACCAUGCUUACAGUUACACAAGAAGUCAGAUAUGACAGGUGGAGUGUUACACACAACUUCGGAGACAUCACAGGGAGUGUGACACACGAAGUCAGAGAUGACACAGGGAGUGUUAUGCAUGAAGCCACAGACACCAUGGGGAGUGUUACAUACAGAGUCAAAGAUGCCAGGUGGAGUGUGACACUCAAAAUCAGAGAUGAGAGGGUGAUUGUCAGACAUGAUUCAGAGAUGCCAUGAGGUGUGUGACACACAAAGUCAGAGAGACCACUGAGAGAGUGAUGCAAGAAUUCAGAGAUGCCAAGGGAGUGUGACACAUUAAAUCAGAGAUGCCAGGGCAAGUGUGACUCACAAUCUCAGAGACAAUGGGGGAGUGUCACACAUAAAGUCAGAGAUGCCGGGGGAGUGCUACACAUGAAGUUAGAGACAGCAGGGGGAGUGUUACACACAUUUAGUGUUACACAGGAAGUACAAGACAAAAGCAGAUUGAGACAUAGGGAAUCAGAGACUCCAGGGGGUGUGUUACACAUGAAGCCAGAUAUGCCAGGGGUAGUGUGACACAUGACAUCAUAGUCACCAUAUGAAGUGUGAGAUGAGAGGACAGAGACAACAAGGGGAAUGUGACAUACAAAGUCAGAGACCACAGGUGAAAUCUGAAUUGUGAAGUCAGAAUCACCAGGAAUAGUGUUAAACAGGAAUUCUGAGACACCAGGGAGCGUGUGAUUCAUGAAGUUAGAGAUGCCAUAUGUAGUGUUACUCAUGGUGUCACAGAUGCCAAGGGAGUGUUACACACAAAGUCAGAGACACCAUUGGGAGUGUUACAUGUGUCGACAAAAAUAAUCCAUAACCAAUCAAUAAAUGAAAAUUUGGGUGAGUUUAUUCUGAGCUUAAAUCUGAGGAUUAUAACCUGGGGCCUUUCUUCCUGAAGGAAGAAAGGGCACCAAAGAAGUGGGGUGCACAGACUGGUUAUAUAUCCCCAGGGAGGAUGUUUCACAUAGGAUUGAAAUGUCCCUUUUACAAUAGUCGUGAGACUGCUCUGUCGGCACAGCGAUGGCUGGAAACAGCAGGUAGGUCUUCUGCCUCAGUGAACGCCGCAGGGUGGCAGUCUGUUGUCUCCAGUUGAGUGGUGACAGGUGAG
ensembl:lncRNA